rnacentral:rRNA from 1 species
UACGUAGGGUGCAAGCGUUAAUCGGAAUUACUGGGCGUAAAGCGUGCGCAGGCGGUUUUGUAAGUCUGUCGUGAAAUCCCCGGGCUCAACCUGGGAAUUGCGAUGGAGACUGCAAGGCUAGAAUCUGGCAGAGGGGGGUAGAAUUCCACGUGUAGCAGUGAAAUGCGUAGAGAUGUGGAGGAACACCGAUGGCGAAGGCGGCAUCCUGGACCGGCAUUGACGCUGAGGCGCGAAAGCCAGGGGAGCAAACGGG